CGGCGUCGACGGCGGACGGGUGAGUAAUGCCUAGGAAAUUGCCCUGAUGUGGGGGAUAACCAUUGGAAACGAUGGCUAAUACCGCAUGAUGCCUACGGGCCAAAGAGGGGGACCUUCGGGCCUCUCGCGUCAGGAUAUGCCUAGGUGGGAUUAGCUAGUUGGUGAGGUAAGGGCUCACCAAGGCGACGAUCCCUAGCUGGUCUGAGAGGAUGAUCAGCCACACUGGAACUGAGACACGGUCCAGACUCCUACGGGAGGCAGCAGUGGGGAAUAUUGCACAAUGGGCGCAAGCCUGAUGCAGCCAUGCCGCGUGUGUGAAGAAGGCCUUCGGGUUGUAAAGCACUUUCAGUCGUGAGGAAGGUAGUGUAGUUAAUAGCUGCAUUAUUUGACGUUAGCGACAGAAGAAGCACCGGCUAACUCCGUGCCAGCAGCCGCGGUAAUACGGAGGGUGCGAGCGUUAAUCGGAAUUACUGGGCGUAAAGCGCAUGCAGGUGGUUUGUUAAGUCAGAUGUGAAAGCCCGGGGCUCAACCUCGGAAUUGCAUUUGAAACUGGCAGACUAGAGUACUGUAGAGGGGGGUAGAAUUUCAGGUGUAGCGGUGAAAUGCGUAGAGAUCUGAAGGAAUACCGGUGGCGAAGGCGGCCCCCUGGACAGAUACUGACACUCAGAUGCGAAAGCGUGGGGAGCAAACAGGAUUAGAUACCCUGGUAGUCCACGCCGUAAACGAUGUCUACUUGGAGGUUGUGGCCUUGAGCCGUGGCUUUCGGAGCUAACGCGUUAAGUAGACCGCCUGGGGAGUACGGUCGCAAGAUUAAAACUCAAAUGAAUUGACGGGGGCCCGCACAAGCGGUGGAGCAUGUGGUUUAAUUCGAUGCAACGCGAAGAACCUUACCUACUCUUGACAUCCAGAGAACUUUCCAGAGAUGGAUUGGUGCCUUCGGGAACUCUGAGACAGGUGCUGCAUGGCUGUCGUCAGCUCGUGUUGUGAAAUGUUGGGUUAAGUCCCGCAACGAGCGCAACCCUUAUCCUUGUUUGCCAGCGAGUAAUGUCGGGAACUCCAGGGAGACUGCCGGUGAUAAACCGGAGGAAGGUGGGGACGACGUCAAGUCAUCAUGGCCCUUACGAGUAGGGCUACACACGUGCUACAAUGGCGCAUACAGAGGGCGGCCAACUUGCGAAAGUGAGCGAAUCCCAAAAAGUGCGUCGUAGUCCGGAUUGGAGUCUGCAACUCGACUCCAUGAAGUCGGAAUCGCUAGUAAUCGUGGAUCAGAAUGCCACGGUGAAUACGUUCCCGGGCCUUGUACACACCGCCCGUCACACCAUGGGGU
rnacentral:rRNA from 1 species